GUUAGCGGCCAUACCACCCUGAAUGUAUCUGAUCUCGUCUGAUCUCAGAAGCUAAACAGGGGCAGGCCUGGUUAGUACCUGGAUGGAGGACACCACCAAAC
rnacentral:rRNA from 1 species